rnacentral:rRNA from 1 species
CCUACGGGAGGCAGCAGUGGGGAAUUUUGGACAAUGGAGCGCAAGCCUGAUCCAGCAAUGCCGCGUGCAGGAUGAAGGCCUUCGGGUUGUAAACUGCUUUUGUACGGAACGAAAAGCUUCUGGUUAAUACCUGGGAGUCAUGACGGUACCGUAAGAAUAAGCACCGGCUAACUACGUGCCAGCAGCCGCGGUAAU